AUAAAUUUAGAGGACUAAAAUUUUCUUUUAAAGGGGGGAGAGUGUAACAUCCCUCAUUUCUGAAUUUUCGUAUAAGUUUUUAGUUGUAAUGUAAGUAUCUAUUUUAAAUUUGAUAAAAGAGCCAAAGUAUGAAUCUAAGAACUUAUUCAUAGGAUUUCCAGGAUUUGUUCCAAAAAAAAAAAUCUGAGGACCUAUAUGUAAACCUUGAGGACCUAAUCGUAAAUAUAAUAAUACACGGACUAAACUAUAAAAUGCACAAAAUUACAAAUCUCACCAUUUAAGCCUCUCUGCCUUCGUUCUUAAGGAACCAGAGAAGGCAGCUGCGUGGAUUAAUAGAGAAAGAAGGAAAGAAGAAGAGAAAAAAAAGGGGGAAGAAGAAGAAGAAAAAAUUUGGGGCUUUAAGGUCUCUUGCUCAAAUCUUCUCAUUUAGGGUCAUAAUUCUCAAAAACAAGUGUUCUAAGCACAUCUUACAGAAGUAUUAGUCUCAAUUCUUAUAUUGAUUCUGAAAUAUUUCUGCUUAGAACCUGAUAUUUCUCUCUUUGGACAUAAAACUAAGGAUCUAGAAUUUUUUCGGUAAACUGACCCCUAUACACUGUUUCAGCUAUAAUUUUUAGCACCAAAUGUGGAUUUAGGUAUGACCUAGCUCGUUUGAAAUUAGACUCUUAUAACUUUCUUAUAAUACUAAAUUUGUAGAUUUUGGACACCGAAUACUUACCCAAACGUCUAUUUCAAACGAGCCUAUAGAUGUUGUAGAACAGGGAUCAAAAUUUCUAACCUUUCGAUACUAAAAUAUCUAUAAGUCCCUGUUGGAAAUUCUGAUUUUUACCAAACUGACAUCAUUCAAACUAGACUUUUAGACCUUUCUUUUGACAUAUAGAUUAAAAAAUUUGAAAUUCAAAUGCCUAUCCUGUUAUCUGUUGAAUCCGACCCUAUGAAUUCUGUAAAACAGUGAUUUUGUUUUCGACCUUGUGUUACCAAAUCAAAGGUAACUCCUUGUUGGAAACUAUGAUUCGUACAAAGUUCAUUUCAUCAGAAAAUAGAUUGAUAUAUCUUUCAACAAUAGCCUUUUUGAGAGUAUUAGAGCAUAAUUGAAAAUCUGAAGUAUUUAUCCAAUUUGCCUCUCGAAUUCUGUCAGAAAUCGAGCUUUGAUCGAUUUCGCAUCUUCUGUUUUUAUUCGUUUGGAAAUAGAUUUUAUUCAGUUCCCUUCACUCAAUUGUGACUUAUAUUAAUGCUUGAAUUCUCGUUUGCUCUUGUCUAUAAAUUAUUUCCAUUCCUGAACAUUUUGUGUAGCCUUUAUGCUAUAUCACAUUGACUUAUAUAGGCACAUGUAUAUCCCAUUGUUCCGCAUUUGCUUUCGAUAUGUGUCUAUUCUAGUUUCAAUCCUUUGAAUAUCAAAUUCAUCUAACCUUCUUAUUUGAAUUGAGUUGUAUGUGAUUGCUUGGAUUAUGUGUGUGCCCUUGCUUUCAUUUCCUUUCUAGUCCGAUUACAAUGGUGAAAGAUUAUUGCUUACUUUGUAUUGACUCGUAAAGGCACAUGUACGUUUGGUUGUUCCGCGUGUGCUUCCGAUAUGUGCUAUUCAUUGUUCACACUAUCCUUUUUUACUCUGGUGUUUGUGGGAUAUUGUGAACCUUUGCCAGAAAUGGUGAAGGGAGUUAUGCAUAGAGCCUGAGAUGCUCUACCGGCCCUUAUGACUUCACUCAGACGUGGGUGGAUGGAGCUCCCAGACGUGAGAGACCUCCCAGAUGUGGGAGACUUAUGUUUGGUGGUCAUUCAGAAAUGGAUGUACCAUAUUAUGUUAUGGUCCCACUUCACCUUCUGUAUGUUUGAUAUGGUAUCCAGAGCUUUGGUUAUGUGUUUCUAUACAUACUUUGGAUAUGAAUGAUAUGAAUGCAAUGUCAAAUUCGACAUUUGAGCUUUUGUUUCAUAUUCAUCUUUGAAAUGCUCCGAAAUGGUCCAUACGCCAUGGAUAUGUUCCGAAAUGUUUCAUUUAUCAUUGAUAUGCUUCGAAACAUUUCAUACGCCUUUGAUAUGCUCCAAAAUGUUUUAUUUGUUAUUAAUAUGCUUCGAAAUGUUCGAUAGGUUGUUGAUAUGCUCCGGAACAUUUCAUAUGCUAUUGAUAUGCUCCAAUUACUCUAUGCUCCAUCUGUUAUGAACCAAAUAUGUUUGAUUGAGAUGACAUUUAUGAUUCUGCCCUAAUGAGAUUAAGUCUAUGAAUUAUUAUAUUUUGCCUUGCAUUUUGAAGCCUUAUUUGUUUGGAAAUUGCCCUCUUUUACAAUGGAUAUGUUAGUCACUUGCUGAGCUUUAUAUGCUUACCCCGUUGUUGUAUAAAUUUUUCAGGAUAGCUUGUCGCUCGCUUAAAUGUUAAGGUUGGGCUGAGGUAGUAGAAAGCUAAAAGAUUUUGGGCAGAUCUUUAUUAGUAUAUAUGUUUUUGUUGUAUAAGCACACUCUACAUCUAAUGAAAUGUUGACGAUGAAUCUAAACUUGUGGAUUAUGUAUUAGAUUAAAGGACCUCUAAUGUCUAGGAUUCUGGAAUGUUAAGUUUAAUUCGUGUAAUGAUAUGAACUUAUGGUAAACAUUGGUUUUGUGACUGUAUAGACUCCCAUACUUGUGAAUUUAUUUUGUGGUUAUUAUUUUGGUGAGUUGGGUUCAGAUUUUAUGAAUCAUCGAACGAUGUGUUGAAUGUUUAUGAACUGCACAGGGUUUAUAAAUUUGUAGAUUAUAGAGGUGAAAUUUUGAUAUGAAUGUUUUCUUAGUGACCUCAAAUGUGUGAUUGGAUCCUGGAUGGAUUUGUGUUAAAAUUUUUUUAAUAUUAUCAUUAUUUUGAGGGGCGUGACAAUGUACGCUCUAGAUAUCUUAUCAUUAAUACAAAUAUUUCAAGUUUAUAGCAAUUCAUUCUAUCAUCAAUUUUACCACAUAUGUCUCCCCCUUUAUCAUCAACAAAAAGGAGAGCAAUCAUAGUAAUUCAUUCUAUCAUCAAUUUACCACAUAUUUCUCCCGCUUUGUCAUCAACAAAAAGGAGAGCAAUUCAAUAAUAAGUGUGGUAUGGAUACAUGUCAUAAAAAGAUUCAUGUCAUUUUUCAACAAUAAGUGAUAAUAUAUCAUUCAUACAAAUUAUUUUUCAAGCAAUUAUGACAUGGUAUCAUUCAAAAGUCCACUAUGGAGAUAGCUUUCAUUACUUCUUCCCUUUUUAUUUGUCAUUAAUGUUUUGCAUGAAGGAGGAAAGCCAUUGAGUUAAAAACGAUAAGAGAUUAAAUUAUGCUUCAUUUUCACUAGGAUCAAGAUAUACAUGUGAAAUUAAAUCCUUGCAAGUGUUCAUCUCUAAAAGAAAUCUUCCUUCAUCAAGAAGGAAUUCAUGUGAAAGAAUCAUUACGUCAAAUCCAUUUCUUGAUUUAAAAAUUAUUUUUCACAAGGUAAAUCAAUGAGAAAUGCAAUUGUUAAUUAAUUCCUUAUGUCAAAAAUCAUGGAGCAUCGAUAUGAAAUAAGCUUGAUAUGACAUAGGCUCCUGAAAGCUCCAUUCAAGAACUACAUUAUGUUCGGAAUAAAAACAUGCAUUCGGACAAUAUUUUGUUAUAGCUUUUCAAUCACAAUCAUGAAGGUAAAACAUGCUCAUCAUCAUGGAAAUUUUUUGGCAUCAAGACACACAAUUUCCAACAUGUUAUUGAAGCAUAUAAUCAUGUAAAAUAAGACUUUCAACAUUGAGUUUUUAAGUGAUUGAUCAAAGAGUCAAGAAAGUCUGAAAAUGAAAUUUAACAAAUUCAUGCAUUCGGAUAAUGUUUUGCCAUAGUUUUUCAAUCAUAAUUAUGAAGCAAAAUUAUUAGUGUUUUGUAGUACUCAAAGAUUAAGAAUCCAAUGUAUGAAUGAACUUUCUCAAAUCACAAUAAGAGUAUAACAUGCUUAUCAUGGAAACUUUUAGCACCAAGGCAUAAAAUUUUUAACUUUAAAGUAAACAUGUUAUUGAAGCAUUCAAUUAUGUCAAAUUCAUAUAAAAUUUUUAGCACGGAAUUAAAGUGAUCAAAUAAUAAGAAAAUUCCUAAAAUGAAGUUUAAUCAACAUUUAAUAUUCCAAACUCUGUAAAUGCUCACCAAAUAAUACAUCAAAUCGUAGAUACCAAUAGUUAAACAUAUCAAGGACUUGCGAUCAUCAAAGUAAGUGGCAUUGCGAUCAAAGUGAGUAGCAUAGUAAGUUUACAACAACAUAGUUUUACAACAUGAUAAGAAGAAAUUGUGUCCACUUUUUCUACAUACAUAUGCUCAUUCAGGUGGUAGAAAGUUAAAAUGUCUAAACAGAGUGUCAAACUGUUGAUGAAUCUGCUGCAGCUUAGAUAGGAUUUGAUCUUGACGAUGUUCAAGUCGAUCUUAUCUUUGUUCAAAGCGAUCCAUCCGAAUCACUAUAUCUUCGAUAGAUGAUAAAGGUGCUUGCUCAAUUGGAUGUGAUUCUUUAAAGGGACCAGUUGGAGGAGAUUGAUUAUUCCUAAAGAUUGGUGUUUCUGGUUUUGGUUCAGGUUGAGGGGGAUCGGUUCUUCUAGGCAUUCUAACCCACAUACAUUUCUAAAUAUGCAUCUCAUCCAUCGAAGUAGAUUUUUAUUUAUGAUGCUAAAUCUAUCUAGCUUUAUAGCAAUAUCAUAGGCACGGAGAAUUCUAGUGAUUAUGCUACCAUAUGGAAGCAUCAUGUCCUUUUUAGAUAUUUCUAUCAUGUUUUGUUGGAAAAUGUAACCAAAGUAAUUGUUGCAUCCCUUCAUGAGCCAAUACAUGGUUCCUAGUUCCAUUUGACUUAGUUCAUCAUGAUGGUAUUAUUUCGGGAGAAUGAUACUAAUUAAAAUGUGAUGAAGUAUUUUAGUGCUUAAUGGUAAUAGAUGUUCAUAGCUUUUUGGAAGUACCAUUAAGUUGAGAUUGCCAAAAAUUGUUCCUAAGGCAUCAACAUACGUGGUCCCAACUGUUUCAUCAUCCCAUUGUCCUCUAAAAUAACAACCUCUAUCUUUUACAGGGAUGCCUAUUAUGUCGUAAAGGGAUCUAUCCGUAAUGGAUAUAUAAUGUCCAAAAAGAUAGGUAGACAUCCUUUCUUCUUCAUCUAUAUUUAGAUUGUUAUAAAACAACCUAACAAGCCUAGGGUAGAUAGGUUCACUUAUUUGUAGGAUUGGGAGAAGGUCUAGAUUUGCAAACCAUUGAAUUGAUUCUAAAUCACUUAGUUCAUCUAAAUCAACAUACUUUCCUUUAUGAACAUUUCUAAAUUCCAUGAAAGUAAAUUUUUGGGCAUGUAGAUUUGAAUCAAAAAGUGUGGAAUCAUAGUUUUCUUCUAAUCUCCUCUUCCCUUUGUCCCUAGAGGAUCUUCUAAAACCCAUAAAUACUGCUAUUUAGGAAGAUAAAUAAUGAGCAAGAGUAGAUCAUAUAAAAGAGAAAUCAAAGCCUUUUAGAGAAUACCUUAGUUGAGAUCUUCAAGAUGAUAUAGGAUUGAUUCUUGAUCUUGCAGGAAAUAGGCAGCUAAAGGGGAAGAAUGGAGUUGGAGGAGGGUUUUGAGCUGCAAGGAAGAGAGGAAAAUGAGUUGGGGUCGGUUCUACCACCGAUCCUAGCUCGGUUUUAAAAGGGGCAAGUUGCGGGUGGUGGCACCGCUGGCUGGGCGGUGCUAUCGCCACUUGGGUGGUGCCACCGCCUACAGGCAGUGAGCACUGCUUUCAGGGCUGCAUGGGCUGAUGUGGGUGUUUUCAAUUUGAAGAGAGUUUUUAUUUGUGGAGCAACCAACCUUAAUUACACAAUUAUGUAAAAAUUUCCAUCACAAGAUGCGAAAUUUUGUACGUUCAUGAUAGAUUUUGUGAAAUGCAUACUCUACUCAAAUGUCAUAUAGAGUUUUUAAUAUGUUCAUGACUCAUCAUGCAAGCUCGUAAGCCUCGCUAGUUCAUGAUUUAUAUCAGACAAGAAUUCGUAUGCAAACUUGGCUUGUAAGACUUAAGUUCAUGAUCUUAUAAGAUAUAGUUGGAUCCGGAAAAAAACAUGAAGAAUGAAUGUAUCCGAUGAAUUCGAAAAUCCGGAGGAUGUGUGAAGGGGAAUUCAUACAUAAGAGUUUACGAGUUUCAAAAUUUGAGGGAUCAAACUUAAGUGUUUAUCACACAAGAUUAUAUCAGUAUCAUUUUGUAAUUGAUAGUUUUAAUUCUACUAAUCCUCUUUUUGUAAUUUUAGCUAGAGAGCGUUAUGAGUCAUUUUGGAUUUCUGGUCAUAGGCCUUGAGCACCCAAAAAGCAAGAUAUCAUCUCUUGCUCCUAGCUUGUGAUGGUAUAUGUUUCUACAAAAGAGGAUGAUUUUUAGGUACUCAUUUGACCUUGGGUGCCUCAAAAAUCGAUCUAAAUUGUUUAUCAUGUUACAUAGAGUUCUUUAUGGUUUCUUUUGGAACCUAAAUCAAUUUGUUUGGACUAACUUUCUUGAAUGGAUAAUGAUAAGUUCUAUGUCCAUGUUUGUAACAAAAGUUGCAUUUGUUUUGGUGCGAAAUAUGCAAGAUAGGGCCUUUAAUAAAAGUGGUUGGAUUUUGGUGAGAGCUUCUUAUAAAUCUGAUUCUACUUCUUUUAUGAACGUGACCCUUAUUUAUAAGGAUCAUGUUCAAUGACUUGCUACCAACCUCAAAUUUCUUCAUGGUGUCCUUGAGUAGUAAGUUCUCCUUUUGGAGUGUUUCUAACUCAUGGUAUUUCGUACAUGGAAUUAAACUAUCAUUAUGCUUAAUUUUUAAUUUAUCGACAUUACUAACAAGAGUAUCAUGCUCCUUUUUUAAUAAUUUAUAUUUUCUACUAAUUUUUUUGCAUUCAUCAAAUAAAUCAUGGAAAGCAUUUAACAAUUCAUCAAAUGAUAAAUUUGCAUCAAUUAAAUUUGAUACCACCUCUCCAAUGGCCAUGAGUGCAUAAUGAGCAACUUGCUCGGUGUUGGACUCCUCUUCUUCGGAGGCGCUUGAGUCAUCCCAUAUUGCUUUGAGCACCUUCUUCUUUGGUGUUCUCUUCUUGGCUUGGGGUCAUUCAAUUUUAUAGUGUCUUGACUUCUUGCAUUCGUAACAAAUAACUUGGUCUUUCUUGGGUUCAAAUUUAUUUUUAGUGUCAUUUUUAAAUUUAUUUCUUUUAAUAAAUUUUUUAAAUUUCCUUGUUAAAAGUGCCAAGUCAUCGUCAAAGUCCUCAUCACUUGAGUUUUCUCUCAAGUGGUCUUCUUGAAUUCUAAGUGUCAUAUCCUUCCUAUUCUUUGGAAGGGUGUCCUCAUGCUCUUCAUGAACUUUGCAAGUUAUUUCGUAGGUCAUUAAUGACUCGAUUAAUUCUUUAAGAGGGAAGUUGUUUAAAUCUUUAACCUUUUGAAUGGUAGUGAUUUUAGGGUCCCAACUCUUUGGAAGGAAUCUUAGAAUUUUGUUAACGAGCUCGAAAUCUGAAAAACUUUUACUGAGUCCUUUUAGACCAUUGACAAUAUCUGUAAAACGGGUGAACAUGUCUCCUAUGGUCUCACUCGGUUUCAUUCGAAAAUGUUCAUAAGAAUGUACUAAAAGAUUGAUUUUUGACUCUUUCACUCUACUCAUGCCUUCGUGAGUCACUUCGAGUAUAUGACAAAUAUCAAAUGCAGUUUCACAAAUCGAAACACGAUUGAACUCGUUUUUAUCUAGUGCACAAAAUAAGGCAUUCAUAGCCUUUGCAUUUAAAACGAAAGUCUUCUUCUCCAAUUCAUACCAAUCGAUCAUUGAAAGAGAAGACUUUGAAAAUCUAUUUUCUACAAUAUUCUAAAGCUCAAAAUCCAUGGAAAUAAGGAAGAUCCUCAUUCGAGUCUUCCAAUAGGUGUAAUCCGUCUCAUUGAACAUGGGCGGACGUGUAAUAGAGUGACCCUCUUGGUUCCCGAUAAAUGCCAUCUCUCUUGGGUUUUAAUCCAACUGAGAGUGAACCCGCUCUGAUACCAAUUGUUAUGAUCAAGAGCACUACGANNNNNNNNNNNNNNNNNNNNGAGCACUACGGAGGGGGGGGGGGGGGGGGUGAAUUAGAGCAGUGAAAAACUUUCAUCGGUUAAAAUGACUUUCGUACGAUGAAAUCUGAUUUCGAUGAAAACUGUUUCGGAAAGAUCUUUUAAGUUGAGAGCAAACAGAAGUGUAGUUGAUGUAAAGCAAUGAAGGCAGUUUGUAGUUAAGAUAAAAAGUAGAAAAUAAAUCCAAAUCGAGAUUUAGAGUGGUUCGGUCAAUCUUGACCUACAUCCACUUUUGGCUUCCUCCUCUGAAGAGGUCACCGAUGUCCACUAGAGACCUUCCUUCAAUAGGCGAAGGGCAACCACCCUUUUAUAGUUUUUCUCCUUUUGACGGGCUUAGGAGACAACUCUUACAAGUUUUCACUCCUCUCUUGAAUGAUCGACACUUAAAAAGAAAGAGGGAGAAGAACUAUAGCUUUUACAACACUUUUAAGCCCUCAAAUACUCAGAAUUAAAGCAAGCUUUCAGUUGCCCUUUUAUGCAGAAAGGGUGGGGUUUAUAUAGGCCCCAAUCAGUUUGAAUUUGGAGCUCAAAAGUAUCCAUUCCCGAAUUUCCGGGGUCCUAGCGGUACCACCGCCAUAACUGGGCGAUACUACCGCCUGUCAUCUGUCACUGAGCAGUACUACCGCUCAGUCUGGGCGGUACUACUACCUGACAUUACUCGAAGACUUAGCUCAGGCAGUACCACCACUUGAUAGGGGCGGUAUCACCGCUGGCAGUAAUAACAACUAGCGGUACCACCGCCUGAUAGGGGCGGUACUACCAUCCAGAACUCUUGGGAGACCGAGUCUCCUAGGCGGUGCCACCGUCGGCCCUAGUGGUGCCACCGCCAACCAAGAAUUCUGGGUCCAAAUGGGCUGAUCCUUUUGGCCCAAUUUGGGUUUGUUAAGGGCCCAGUUGGCCCCAAAUUAAGUUAAUGGGAUCACCUCCCAAUUCUAACUUAAUCUACUUGCUAACUACAACAAUUAAGACAUCAAUACUACAAAUCAUAUUCCGGUGCAUCAAUCGCUUCUUCUGGCGAGCUUCCAGCGAACUUCCGAUGAACAUCUGACGAACCCUCGGCGAUGCUCUGACGGACUCCUGGCAAACUCCUGGACUUUGCGACGAUCCUCUUGGCGAGUUCCAACGAGCUUCUAUGGCAAGCUCCUGGACUUCUCGGAUUGUUCCCGCAGAACCUCCGACGAAUAUUCGGACUUCCGACGAACUCUUAAACCCCCAACGUGAUCUUGGUCUUGACUCCAGCUCGACACCGGCUGCAUGUCUUACUGCCAUCGUAGUUAAUCCUGCACACUUAUCUCAACAUAUAGAUUAUAUAAACAAAUGACAAUUGACUUCAUCAUCAAAAUUUGAGAUUCAAUAGAUAUAGGGGAAUCCAAUCCAUUAGACAUGUUUGUCCUCAGUUACCAUAUACCUAUAGUCCCUCAUCCAUCUAAUAUCUCAAAGAUUGUAUACCAGGCAUGGUGGUGUCAGACCUAUACGGUUUCUACUUGAGUCUCGCUCUAAUCGGAUUCACCCAGAGAACUCUUUCUCUUUUAAUCCGAAUGACCCUAGUUAGGGAUUUGUUUGAGCAAGAACACAUGGGAUAUUCCUCUCAUGACACCGAGAGUAGAUGAUCCUCUAUCGACACUCAAUAGUCCUCGUAAGGUUGACUACCACUCCCGAUGAUCGGUUGUGCUAGAUCUGGAAUCUCUAGACCUAUAAGUCUGGUAUCAAAGAAUAGAGUACUCAAACAUGACAUAUUUGGUAUCUUAAGUCUAAGGACCAAAUAGACAACUAGGACUACAGAAUCAUUUUCUAACAAUAAGGUAUCAUCAACCAUCCAACAUUAUGUUAGCGGAUCAAUUAGUGAACUUAUUCUCUAAUGAGCACCUGUACUAUAUCCCUAAUGUCCUCACAUGAGCAACUAUGAGACUAGUUGUAUCCAUCAUAUGGACGGGUAUACAGCACACUAGUUUGUCAGAUUAUCUCGAUGUCUCUCUUGAGUAACCUAUGACCGGGAUUAUUUAGGGUUUGUGUUUAAAGGUGAAUUGGUCUCAUUAUCAUGAUCUCAUCAUGAUCUGAUUCUUAUUGUAUAGAUCCAAGGACAUAAUAAUAUAUACAUGUGUAUAUGCAAAAAUCAAUAUAAAGUGAUAAAAUGUCAAAAUAUAAUAAGCAAAAAGACUACAUGUCAAGUCACACGUGUCAUCACUCACUUGAUUGGCUUGCAAGACACCUAUGACUAGCAGAUACCACCACCGGACACAUUGUCACUAGGCCAUACCACUGCCUAACAGCCUCGGAGACUAGAUUUUUUGAGUUUUCCAACUCAUUGGCAGUUCCAUCACUUGUUCUGGCGGUGCCACUGCCUGACCCAACUUUUUUGUCACUGAAUGAGCCUCCCAAUGAGCCCAAAUCAGUCCCAAUUGGCCCCUAAUUGAGUUAGCAUGAUUACACCAAAAGCUAACUCAAUUAAACCCCUAAACUACUUUGAUCUUAUACAAAUGAUUACAAAGCAUGAAUCCUUUGUCAGGCAUGUCAUUAGCUCAUCUGACGCUUCAUCCGAUCCUUCAGCACAUCAUCCUCUCCUUCGGCGUAUUAUCCAAUCGGCAAAUUGACUCCCACAAAUUAUGAUCUCCUUGGCACAAUGUCCGAUCCUUCGGUCUGAUACCCGAAUUCACGGCACGAAGCCUUCUGCCGAUGUUGAAUCUCAGAUUUUGAUGAUAAAACAAAUUGAUAGGGUUUAUGAUUUGAUUUGCAUUUUGAGUGACGUAGGAUGCUUCGAUCAGCGAGAGACAAUUUUGUUGAAUCUCAAAUUUUGAUGAUGAAACCAAUUAAUGAGUGUUUAUGAUUUAAUCUGGAUUUUGAGUGACAUAGGAUGCUUCGAUCAGGAUGAGACAAUUAAAGCAGGAAGAAUCAUAUUGGGCCUGAGGAAAACAUGUCAGAAGAUUGGACCUCAAGCCGGAGGAUUAGUCGAUGUAUCGGCAGAAGGCUUUGGGCCAUGGAUUCAGGCAUCGGGCCAAGAAGAGUGGAUAUUACGCCAAGGAUAUCGGAGUUGCGGAGUCAACUGGCUGAUUGGACAAUAGACCACAAGAGAGGAUGAUGUGCCGAAGAAUCGGACGAAGCGUCGAGGGGCCAAUGACAUUCCGGACAACAUGAUUCAAGCUUAGUAAUAAUUGUCUAGAUCGAAGUGUGUUUUACAUGUGUAGGAUUAACUAUGAUAGCAAGGUAUAAAGCAAAAUGAAGUCCCGGAGUCAAGAACGCGAUUUCGUUGGGAGUUCGAGAGUUCGUCAGAAGUUUGGACGUUCGUCAAAAGUUCUAUAGGAACCAGCCGAGAAGUCUCGGAGCUUGCUAGAGAAGCUCAUCGGAACUCACGAAGAAGAUUGUUAUGAAGUCCAGGAGCUUGCCGAGAGUUCACUGGAACAAUACCGAGAGAUGUCGGAAGUUCGCCGGAAGACCGCCGGAAGCUCGCUGGAAGAAACUAGACUUACGGACUUGUUUAGCUUAGAAUAUGUCUUAGGAAUCAUAGUUAGCAUGUAAUUGGGUUUGGAUUUGGGCCAACCCAAUUAGGGGCCAGUUUGGCCCAUGUAAGGACUAUGUUGGACCCAAUGGAAAGGCCCAAACAGUGCCCCAAGAGGUGACACCGUCGUGGCACAAUCUCCGAGACUAUGUCAGACGGUGGUACCAUCGGUCUGGGUAGUGAUACUGCCCAAACACAGCCUCCAAGAGGCUGCAGGUGGUGGUACCUGUUAGGAUCAAGAGCGUACUAAGAGGGGAGGGUGAAUUAGUGCAGCGAAAAACUUAUGUGAUUUCAGAAAAUAUUUCGUACAUUCGAAGGAAAUCAAUUCGGAAAGAUAAUUACUUUAAAACGUAAGAGAGUAUAAGUGUAGUGAAAGCAAGAUGAGGAGAAUAAGUACUUUGCUAUAAAAUGAUUUGCAGUUAAAGAAGAUUGCUCAAAACGAAAUGUAAACCAAAUUUAGAGUGGCUCGGUCAAUCGUGACCUAUAUCCACUUUCGGCUUCCUCCUCCGAUGAGGUCACCGAUGUCCACUAGAGGCCUUCCUUCAAUAGGUGAAGGCCAACCACCUUUUAUAGCUUUUCUCCUUUUUUCGGGUUUAGGAGACAACCCUUAUAAGUUUCACUCCUCUCUUGAAUGAUCUCAACACUUAGAAAGGGAGGAGAAGAACUCUAGCACUUGUUUACAACACUUUUACACCCAAACAACUCAAGAUUAUCUCAAUGUUGCAGAAAAGGGUGGGGUUUUUAUAGGCCCCAAUGGCUUCAAAAUUGGUGCCAAAAAGUAUCACAUCCCCAAAAUCCGGGGUACUGGCGGUACCAUCGCCAUUACUGGGUGGUACUACCGCCGUUGAUAUGACCCAGGGCGGUACCAUCGCUGAACAGGGGCGGUACUACCGUUGGCAGCACUGUUGUCUAUGGUACCGUCGCCAAUCCUGGGUAGUACCACCACCCAGGAAUCCAGCAGCACUGCUUUCCAAGCGGUGCCACCAUAGGCCAUGUUUUCAGGGUCCUUAUUGGGCCUUGAAUCCAGCCCAAACUAGCCCAACUUGGGCCCAAUUGGCCCUAAAUUAAGUUAGUGGGAUUACUUCCUAAUCUUAACUUAAUUUACGCUCUAACUAUGGCAACUAAGACAUGAUUACUAUAAUUCAUGUUUCGGUGUGUCAAUCGCACUUCCGGCGAUCUUCCGGCGUACUUCUGGUGAACAUCCGACGAACUCUCGACAAUGCUCUAGCGGACACCCGGCAAGCUCCUGGACUUUGCGACGAUCUUCUUGGCGAGUUCCGAUGAGCUUCUAUGGCAAGUUUCUAGACUUCUCGGUUAGUUCCCGUAGAACUUCCGAUGAACGUCCGGACUUCCGACGAACUCUCGAACUCCCAAUGUGAUCUUGAUCUUGACUCUGGCACAAUACUUGCUUCAUGUCUUACUGCUAUCGUAGUUAAUUCUACACAGUUUUCUCAACAUAUAGAUUAGAUUAAACAAAUUAUAAUUGACUUCAUCAUCAAAAUCCGAGAUUCAACAAUCUCCCCCUUUUUGAUGAUGACAAUCAAUUGAUGACGGAGUUAACCUUAACUCCCCUAUCUAUAUGCCAUACUUGAGAAAAGACAUUCUUGCAUUCAAGACCUUUGAAUUCAAGAGACAUAUUGAUAAGUUAAGUUCAUUUAAACUUAUCAAUACACACAUCAUGAUUCCUAUCAUGAUCUAACAUUCUCAAAAUGAUGUCAAGGCAUGACAUCCAUUUUCAAGUAUGAUAUUUCAAGUAUGAAAGAUGAUAAAUAUAGCAAUUCAUCAUUCUAUGGCAAGAUAUCAAUUUGUAAAAUUAUAAAUUAAGCUCUAGAUAUCUUAUCAUAAUGAAGAAAAUUUAUCAAGCAAAUAUUUCAUGUAUUUAUGAUGAAAUACAUUGCAUACAUUUGUCAUCAAUUUAUCAUAUUUUGAUAUUAUUUCUCCCCCUUUGUCAUCAAUAAAAAUGAGAACAAUUUCAACAAUGCAAGUGUGGUAAAAAUUCAUGCCACAUUUCAAUUUGUAUACCAAUCAUAUUUCAAGCAUUCAUGACAUGGUAUCAUUCAAAAGUUCUCAUAUUAAAAGUUAUAAAUAUUUAAAGAGAUGGCUUCCAUCAACUUCUCCCUUUUUAUUUUCAUUAAAACUUUGCAUGAAAAAGGAAAGAAAGUAGGAAAUCCAUUACGAACCCACUUUGUGAUGAUUUGAAUCAUCAAAAAUGAUAAAAGAGUUUCAUUAAAUCAUGCUUCAAUUUUUCACAAAGAUCAAGAUAUUCAUGUGAAAUUAAAUCCUCACUCUUGCAAGUGUUCAUCUAAAAAAGAAUCAUAAAAAAAAAUUCUUCCUUCAUAAUGAGAAGAGCAUUACAUCAAAUCUAUUUCUCAAAAAUUCAUACGAGUGAAAUCCGUGAGAGAUGCAUUUGUUAAUGAAAUCCAUGAAUCAAACAUCAAGAUAUGUAUAAAUACUUCAUGCAUUUAUAAAAUGUUUUGUCAUAGCUUUUCAUCACUACUUGCAUGAGGUAAUAUCAUUAGUGCUUUGCAGUACUCAAAGAUUAAGAAUCCGAUGUAUGAUUAAAAUGUCUCAAUAUUCAAUAGAAAUCAUAAUCAUGAAAGUAAACAUGAUAUUGAGGCACAUAAUCUUAUCAUCAUGUAAAAUUCACAGUACUGAAUUUAAGUGAAUGAUCAAAGAAUAAAGAAAGUCCGAAAACGAAAUUUAACAAAUUCAUGCAUUCAGACUGAUUAACAUUCAUAACUCUCUUCUAAUAAAAUUAAAUUAUUCUUCAUUUAAAGACUUUGUAAAAAUAUCAGCUAACUGAUAUUUUGUAUCAAUAAACUCUAGGAUUACAUCAUGAUUAGUGACAUGAUCUCGUAUAAAGUGAUGCCUAAUGUCAAUAUGUUUUAUUCUAGAGUAUUGAAUGAGAUUCUUUGUUAAACAUAUUGUACUUGUGUUAUCACAUUUUAUGAGGAUAUUUUUAAGAUAAAUUUUAUAAUCCUUUAAAGUGUUUUUCAUCCACACAACUUGUGCACAGCAUGCACUAGCUACAAUGUACUUAGCUUCGGUUGUAGAUAGUGCAACCGAGUUUUGUUUCUUGGAUGACCAAGAAACAAGUGCGUGUCCUAAAAACUGACAUGUUCCGGAUGUGUUUUUUCUAUCUAAUCUAUAUCCAGCAAAAUCCGCAUCAGCAUAUGCAAUUAGUUCAAAGUUCUAAGAUUUUAGAUACCAUAAUCCUAGAUUAGUUGUACCUUUAAGAUAUCUAAGUAUUCUUUCAACUACAUUGAGAUGAGAUAUCUUAGGAUUAGAUUGAUACCUAGCACAAAGUCCUACACUAAACAUGAUAUCCGAUCUAGUUGCGGUGAGGUAAAGUAAACUUCCUAUCAUACCCCUAUAAGCUUUUUGAUCAAAGCUUUCUUCACUUUCAUCAAUUUCUAACUUAGUGGAGGUGCUCAUAGGAGUUUUGAUAGCCUUUAAGCUAUCCAUAUUAAACCUUUUUAGCAAAUCUAAGGCAUAUUUUGUUUGACUAAGAAAUAUAUCAUUACUUAGUUGUUUGAUUUGUAAGCCCAAAAAGAAAGUUAAUUCCCCCAUCAAACUCAUUUCAAAUUCAAGACUUAUACUUUUAGCAAAUGACUCACAUAGAGAUUCAUUCGUACAACCAAAAAUGAUAUCAUUAACAUAAAUUUAAAAAAUAAAAAAAAUAUUUUUAAAAUUUUUGAUAAACAAUGUAUUAUCGACCUUGUCUUUAGACAAAUUAUUUUCAAUAAGCAAUGAACUAAGUCUCUCAUACCAAGCCCUUGGGGCAUGUUUUAAAUCAUAGAGAGCUUUAGUUAAUUUAAACACAUGAUUAGGGAGACUAUCAUUCUCAAAUCCGAGAGGUUGUUCAACAUAAACUUCUUUGGAAAUAAAGCCAUUAAGAAAAGUACUUUUAACAUAUAUUUAAAAUAACUUAAAAUUAUUAUUACUAGCAUAGGCAAGGAGCAUCUUUAUGACUUCUAAUCGAGCCAUAGGAGUGAAGGUUUCUUCGUAAUCGAUACUUUCUUCUUGGUUGAAACCUUUGGCUACUAAUCUAGCUUUAUUUAUAACCAUGAUACCAGAUUCAUCUUGCUUCUUUCUAAAGACCCAUUUAGUACCAAUAACUAAAUGGUCAUUUGGCCUAGUAACAAGCUUCCACACCUCAUUUCUCUCAAAUUGAUUUAACUUAUCUUGCAUUGCAAUGACCCAUGAAUCAUCUUUCAAGGCCUCGUCAAUAUAUUUUGGUUCAAUUUCGGAGAGAAAAGCGGCGUUGGCACAAAAAUUCUUAAGAAAAAAAUGAGUUUGAACCCCUUUAGAUGCAUCUCCUAUGAUUAGCUCCUUAGGAUGAGCAUCUACAUACUUUCAAUCCUUGGGUAAGGAUGUUUCAGAAGUAAAUGCAUCCAAGUUGCUAGAUGGAGAAANNNNNNNNNNNNNNNNNNNNAAAAGCGGCGUUGGCACAAAAAAUUCUUAAGAAAAAAAUGAGUUUGAACCCCUUUAGAUGCAUCUCCUAUGAUUAGCUCCUUAGGAUGAGCAUCUACAUACUUUCAAUCCUUGGGUAAGGAUGUUUCAGAAGUAAAUGCAUCCAAGUUGCUAGAUGGAGAAAGGGUUUCAUUUAAAUUUAAAGCACCAAAAUUAAUAUCAUCAUCAAAAUCAUUUUUCUUAAUUUUGAAAACCUUAUUAAAAACAACAUAAAUGGAUUCUUCUAUAAUAAAAGUUCUUUUAUUAAAAAUACGAAAUGCUUUAGAAAUAGAAGAAUAGCUAAGAAAAAUUCCUUCAUCAGAUUUAGCAUUAAAUUUUCCUAAAGCAUCUUUUUCAUUCAAGAUAAAACACUUACACCCAAAAACUUUAAAAUAUGAAACAUUAGGUUUUUUGUUGUUCCACAACUCAUAAAGAGUUUUGGAAAGUAAAGGUCUUACUAGAACCCUAUUCAUGACAUAGCAUGCCGUAUUUACAGCUUCGGCCCAAAAAUAUUUUGGUAGGCUAUGUUCAUUCUACAUGGUUCUAGCUAUUUCUUGUAAGUUUCUAUUCUUUCUUUCUACUAUUUCAUUUUUGUUAAGGAUUUCUUGGAGUAGAGAAGUCAUGGUUGUAUCCAUUAGAUUCACAAAAUUCUUGAAAAUCACGGUUUUGAAAUUCACCACCGUGAUCACUUCGAAUUGAUGAAAUCAUAAAACCCUUUUCAUUUUGAACAAGUUUACAAAACUUAGAGAAAUACCUAAAGCAUUUACUUUUGUGUACCAAAAAAUAAGUCUAUGUGUAUCUACUGUAAUCAUCCACGAUAACAAAUACGUAUUUGCUACCUCCCAGGUUUGAUGUAGCAAUUGGUCCGACCAAGGUCAAAUGGGUACCUUUCUUGGGUUCAAAUUUAUUUUUAGUGUUAUUUUUUAAUUUGUUUUUUUAAUAAUUUUUUUGAAUUUUCUUGUUAAAAGUGCCAAGUCAUCAUCGCUUGAGUUUUCUCUCAAGUAGUCUUCUUGUGUUCUCAGUGUCAUAUCCUUCCUGUUCUUUGGAAGGGUGUCCUCAAGCUCUUCAUAAGCUUUACAUGUUAUUUUAUAGGUCAUUAGUGACCCAAUUAAUUCUUCAAGAGCAAAGUUAUUUAAAUCUUUGGCCUCUUGAAUGGCCGUGACUUUAGGGUCCCAACUCUUUGGAAGGGAUCUUAAAACUUUAUUAACGAGCUUAAAAUCUGAGAAACCUUUACUAAGUCCUUUUAGACCAUUGACGAUAUCCGUAAAUUGGGUGUACAUGUCUCCAAUGGUCUUACUCGGUUUCAUUCGAAACAAUUCAUAAGAAUGCACUAAAAGGUUAAUUUUUGACUCUUUCACUCUACUAAUGCCUUCAUAAGUCACUUCGAGUGUGUGCCAAAUAUCAAAAGCCAUUUCACAAAUCGACACUCGAUUAAACUCAUUUUUAUCUAAUGCACAAAACAAGGCAUUCAUAGCCUUUGCGUUUAAAGCGAAAGUCUUCUUCUCCAACUCAUUCCAAUCGUUCAUUGGAAGAUAAGACUUUUGAAAUCCAUUUUCUAUAAUAUUCCAAAGCUCAAAAUCCAUUGAAAUAAGGAAGAUCCUCAUUCUUAUCUUCAAAUAUGUGUAAUUCGUCCCAAUGAAUAUAGGCAGACGUAUAAUUGAAUGACCCUCUUGGUUGCCGACAAAUGCCAUCUCUCUUGGGUUUUAAACCAAAUGAGAGUGAACCUUGCUCUGAUAUCAAUUAUUAGGAUCAAGAGCGAACUAAGAGGCGGGGGUGAAUUAGUACAGCGGAAAACUUAUAUGAUUUCAGAAAAUAUUUCGUAUGUUCGAAGGAAAUCGAUUCGGAAAGAUAAUUACUUUAAAACGUAAGAGAGCGUAAGUGUAGUGAAAGCAAGAUGAGGAGAAGAAGUACUUUGCUAUAAAAUGAUUUGCAAUUAAAGAAGAUUGCUCAAAACAAAAUACAAACCAGAUUUAGAGUGGUUCGGUCAAUCGUGAUCUACAUCCACUUUCAGCUUCCUCCACCGAUGAGGUCACCGGCGUCCAUUAGAGGCCUUCCUUCAAUAGGCGAAGGCCAACCACCAUUUAUAGCUUUUUUCCUUUUGCCAGGUUUAGGAGAUAACCCUUACAAGUUUCACUCCUCUCUUGAAUAAUCUCAACACUUAGAAAGGGAGGAGGAGAACUCUAGCACUUAUUUAUAACACUUUUACACCCCAACAACUCAAGAUUAUCACAAUGUUUUCAUUACCUUUCAUGCAAAAAAGGGUGGGGUUUUUAUAGGCCCCAAUGGCUUCAAAAUUGGAGCAAAAAAGUAUCACAUCCCUGGAAUCCGGAGUACUGGCGGUACCACUACCAUUAUGGAGCGGUACUAUCGUUGCUGAUAUGACCCUGGGCGGUACCAUCACCGAACAAGGGCGGUACCACCGUUGGCAGCACUACUGCCGACAGUACCACUGCCCAUCCUAGGCGGUACCACCUCCUAGGAAUCUAGGGGCACUGCUUUCCAGGCGGUGCCACCGCAGGCCAUGUUUUCAGGGUCCUUGUUGGGCCUUGAAUCCGGCCCAAACCAGCCCAACUUAGGGCCCAAUUGGCCCCAAAUUAAGUUAGUGGGAUUACCUUCUAAUCUUAACUUAAUUUAUACUCUAACUACAACAACUAAGACAUGAUUACUACAAUUCAUGUUCCAAUGCAUCAAUCGCACUUCCAACGAGCUUUCGGCGUACUUCCAUCGAACAUCCGACAAACUCUCGGAAAUCCUCCGACGGACUCCCGGCAAGGUCCUGGACUUUGCUCGAUAUUCUUGGCGAGUUCUAAUAAGCUUCUAUAGCAAGCUUCUAGACUUCUCGGUUGGUUCCCGCAAAACUUCCUACGAACGUCCGAACUUCCAAUGAACUCUCGAACUCCCAACGUCAUCUCGAUCUUGACUCCAACAUAACACCUACUUCAUGUCUUAUUGCUAUCAUAGUUAAUCCUGCACACUUUUCUCAGCAUAUAGAUUAUAUUAAAUAAAUUAUAAUUGACUUCAUCAUUAAAAUCCGAGAUUCAACAGUACCGCCCAGUGUCAGGCGGUGGUACCGCCAGACUGGGUAGUGGUAUCGCCCAUCACAAUGUCAGUGUAAGACUAACACUAGCGGUGGUAUCGCCCGUGCCUAGGAAACUCGUGAUGAGAUGUUUUUAGGCUCCAAGUUUGAAUCAACUUGAAGCCUAUAAAUACCCCUCUCAUCCCUGGUUAAUACGCACAAGUAUUGAGAGUAAAAAAGAAAAGAAAUGCUACUACAAUCUUGUGUGAGUUCCUCUCAAAGUUCUAAGCGUUAUAAUAGUUUGAGAGAGGAGUAAGUGGGAGUGUAAGGGUUAUCUCCUAAACUUGAUUAAAGGAGAAUCGAGUUGUAAGAAGGAGGUUGAUCUUCGCCUAUUAAAGGAAGAUCGAUAGUAGAUGCCGAUGGCCUCGACGGAAGAGGAAUCGGCGAAGUGGAUGUAGGUCAUGACGACCGAACCACUCUAAAAUCUUGUUUGCUUUUCAAUUAUGUAAUUUAUAUUACUGCAAACCUCCUCAAGCUUCUCUUUACAUUUUGCAUGAAAGUUUUUGAGUUCAAAGUUUAGCAUUUCCGAAUUUGGUUUUAUCAUACGAAAUGAGAAAAUUUCAGAACCGAUGUGAUUUUUACCGCUGCACUAAUUCACCCCCCCUCUUAGUGCCGACCCCCAUUCCUAACAAUUGGUAUCAGAGUCUCGUUAUUUCUUAUUUGGUUUAAUACCCAAGAGAAAUGGCUCUUUUCGGCUUUCAAGAUGGUCACUCUUUCAUUCGUCCUCCCUUUUUCAAUGGGACGGACUACACUUGUUGGAAAACUCUAAUGAGAGUUUUCUUGCUUUUUAUUGAUUUAAAUUUAUGGAAUAUGGUCAAAAAACAGAUUUUAAAGGUCUUCUCUUCUAAUGAACGAUUGGAAUGAUUUGGAGAAGAAGACGUUAUCUCUAAAUACUAGAGCUAUGAAUACUCUAUUUUGUGCCUUAAACAAAAAAUGAAUUCAAUCGGGUUUCUUUGUGCGAAACGAUUUUUGAUAUUUGGCAUAUUCUCGAAAUCACACAUAAAGGCACGAAUAGAGUUAAAGAUUCUAAAGUCAAUCUUUUAAUGCACGAUUUUGAACUUUUUCGAAUGAAACCAAACGAAACCGUUGUUGACAUGUACACCCAUUAUACGAAUGUCGUCAAUGGUUUAAAAGCUCUUGGUAAAAGCUUUUCGAAUUUUGAACUCGUUAACAAGAUUUUAAGAUCUCUUUCUAAAAAUUAGAAUUUGAAAGUAACGGCAAUACAAGAAUCAAAAGAUUUGAACUAUUUUCCAAUUGAACAACUAAUUGGGUUUUUAAUGACCUAUAAAAUGACUAAUAUGGAACUUGACGAAUAUGAGAACCACCUUCCAAAGAACGGGAAGGAUUUUGAACUUAGAAUAAUUAAAGACCACUCGAGCAAAAGCUAAAGUGAUAGUGAACUUGAACUGCUCAUGAAAUUAAAAAGUUCAUGAAACAAAAAUUAAAGAACAAAAAGAAUGCAACUAAUUACUAUGAAUGUAAGAAGAACACAAAUUGGGAUGAAUCGAGCUCAUCCGAAGAUGAGGAAAAAAUCAACAAAGACGAGGUGGCAAACUACGCCUUAAUGGUAUUUGAUGAUGAGAUAAUCAAAAUGCCUUUAAUUUAUUUCGAAAUUACAUGAUAAUUUUUUUCAUGAGUUAUUUUUAAUUUAGUCUAAUUAUUUUUCUUGAAAAUUACAUGUUUAAUAAUGUAAUGAAAAUGCUAAAAAAUUAUGAUCAUGCUAGUAAUUUUGAAAAUGAUAAUAAAAAUUGUAUGUUUUAUGUUAAUAGAAUAAAAUGUUAGAUUUAAAUCUAAUGAUGAUCUUAUGAAUGUUUUUCAACAAGAAAUAAUGUGUAUCUUGAUGAUUUUUUAUUUUGAUUGAAACCAUGCUUGAUGUCUUAAUGAAAAUAUUAAGAUGUUUGAUAUCAUGCUUAAUAAUGAUGCAUGGAUUUUGUAUCGAAAACUAAGCUUGCAAAGUUAGAUUCACCUAAAAAGAAAAAUGCAUGACUACAACAAACAAAAUGAUCUUGAUGGAAAAUGCUUUAUGUUUAAUGAAAUCAAGUUCGAUGAUGCAUAAUGAUGUAAUUAUGUAAUGAAAAUAUUAAAUAUUUUGAAACCAUGUCUUGAUAUUGUAACACCCCUCAUUUCCGAAUGUUCGUAUGAAUUUUUGGUGAUAAUGUAAGCAUCUAUUUUAAUUGACAAAAGAAAUAGAGUAUGAAUUAGAGGUAACCUAUUUGUAAGAUUUGGGAGAUCUGUUCAAAAAAAAAAAAGAAGAAAGAAUCUGAGGACCUAUAUGUAAACCCUAAGGAACUAAUCAUGAAUAUGAUAAAAACAAGGACUAAACUGCAAAAUGCACCAAAUGACAAAUUCCACCGCUUAAGCCUCUCUGCCUUCGUUGUUAAGGAAGCAGAGGAGGCAGCUCGUGGGUGAUCAGGGAAAGAAAAGAAGAAGAAGAAGAAGAAGAAGAAGAAGGAGAAGAGAAAGAAAAUUUNNNNN
rnacentral:lncRNA from 1 species